rnacentral:rRNA from 1 species
GACGAACGCUGGCGGCGUGCUUAACACAUGCAAGUCGAACGGAAAGGCCCUGCUUUUGUGGGGUGCUCGAGUGGCGAACGGGUGAGUAACACAUGAGUAACCUGCCCUUGACUUUGGGAUAACUUCAGGAAACUGGGGCUAAUACCGGAUAGGAGCUCCUGCUGCAUGGUGGGGGUUGGAAAGUUUCGGCGGUUGGGGAUGGACUCGCGGCUUAUCAGCUUGUUGGUGGGGUAGUGGCUUACCAAGGCUUUGACGGGUAGCCGGCCUGAGAGGGUGACCGGCCACAUUGGGACUGAGAUACGGCCCAGACUCCUAGGGGAGGCAGCAGUGGGGAAUAUUGCACAAUGGGCGGAAGCCUGAUGCAGCAACGCCGCGUGCGGGAUGACGGCCUUCGGGUUGUAAACCGCUUUCGCCUGUGACGAAGCGUGAGUGACGGUAAUGGGUAAAGAAGCACCGGCUAACUACGUG